rnacentral:rRNA from 1 species
CAAUAGCGUAUAUUAAAGUUGUUGCAGUUAAAAAGCUCGUAGUUGAACUUUGGGCCUGGCAGGCCGGUCCGCUUUUUGGCGAGUACUGACCCUGCCGGGCCUUUCCUUCUGGCUAACCUCCCCUCUGGAGAGGCGAACCAGGACUUUUACUUUGAAGAAAUUAGAGUGUUCAAAGCAGGCCUUUGCUCGAAUAUAUUAGCAUGGAAUAAUAGAAUAGGACGUUUGGUUCUAUUUUGUUGGUUUCUAGGACCAUCGUAAUGAUUAAUAGGGACGGUCGGGGGCAUCAGUAUUCAGUUGUCAGAGGUGAAAUUCUUGGAUUUACUGAAGACUAACUACUGCGAAAGCAUUUGCCAAGGACGUUUUCAUUAA